AACGAACGCUGGCGGCAGGCUUAACACAUGCAAGUCGAGCGCCCCGCAAGGGGAGCGGCAGACGGGUGAGUAACGCGUGGGAAUCUACCCAUCUCUACGGAAUAACGUAUGGAAACGUGUGCUAAUACCGUAUACGUCCUUCGGGAGAAAGGUUUAUCGGAGAUGGAUGAGCCCGCGUUGGAUUAGCUAGUUGGUGGGGUAAAGGCCUACCAAGGCGACGAUCCAUAGCUGGUCUGAGAGGAUGAUCAGCCACACUGGGACUGAGACACGGCCCAGACUCCUACGGGAGGCAGCAGUGGGGAAUAUUGGACAAUGGGCGCAAGCCUGAUCCAGCCAUGCCGCGUGAGUGAUGAAGGCCCUAGGGUUGUAAAGCUCUUUCACCGGUGAAGAUAAUGACGGUAACCGGAGAAGAAGCCCCGGCUAACUUCGUGCCAGCAGCCGCCGUAAGAC
rnacentral:rRNA from 1 species